rnacentral:misc_RNA from 1 species
AGAAAAUGCAAGGAAACUAACUAUCAUUCAUUUAUUGAUUUUUUUAUUAAUUGGUUGGCCAUUUUUUAGACCUGUUGUCUGCAGUUCUUGGUCUGUAAGUUAGUGUAAGAUGAGGUAUAGCGGGUCUUCUAAUGUGUUCAUGUGUGCACCUUUAUGUGUGUUGGUUUGCAUGUGUAUAAUUUAUAUUUGCAUUGCUCAUUGAUUUUCUUUCAGAUAUUUUCUUCUUUUUUGCUAUUUGACUUAUUGUGUUAAAUAUUUUGAAG